rnacentral:rRNA from 1 species
CCCUUAGAUGUCCGGGGCUGCACGCGCGCUACACUGAAGGAAUCAGCGUGCUAAAACCAUUGUCGAAAGGCAUUGGUAAACCCAUUAAAAUCCUACGUGAUUGGGAUCGGGAAUUGCAAUUAUUUCCCUUGAACGAGGAAUUCCCAGUAAGUGUGGGUCAUAAGCUCGCGUUGAUUACGUCCCUGCCCUUUGUACACACCGCCCAUCGCUGCCCGGGACUGAGCCGUUUCGAGAAAAGCGGGGACUGCUGCUGUCGGGGCUUUCGGGCCUUGGCUUCGGUGGAAACCGCUUUAAUCGCAGUGGCUUGAACCGGGCAAAAGUCGUAACA